rfam:Triticum aestivum genome assembly, contig: Triticum_aestivum_CS42_TGACv1_scaffold_686376_T_7AS-0.038100_5DL-0.022737
CUUGUACUCCCUCCGUCCGAAAAUACUUGUCAUUGAAAUGGAUGUAUCUAGAUGUAUUUUAGUUCUAGACACAUCCAUUUUGAUGACAAGUAAUUUCGGAUGGAGGGAGUACUUG